AUGGAGAUCGGUAGUUCGUUGUCCAGGGUUGUUGCUAUCAAGGGCAGGGGUUUUUUUGGCUGGGUGGAGUUAGUUGAUUCGAUGAAGCCAAAGCAGUGGCUUCCAAAAAUUGUUAUUGAGACUGGAAUCAUACACAUCAUGGAUAACUUACCAGAAGGGUCAAAGAAAGUUGUCAUGCCACUGAGGUUUUCUCAGGGGAUCUUCAAUGUGAAUGAGAUAAACAAGAAGUUUGAAUACAAGAACCGUCUCGACAAAAAAGAUUUGGUCAUGCUACCAGUGCUUGAGUGCGAUAAUGUAAACGACUGCGAAGGAGGAAGGCAUUAUUGGUUCUUCAACAUCAACCUGAGGGACGGACGUUUUGAAGUUCUUGAUUCAAACAGGAAGCUAGAAGACAUUGAGUUGAUGCACACCACCUCUACGAUUGCGGGGGCAGCACGCCAGCUAUGGAGGAAGCAUUACCCAAAGAAGAGCAUCGAGCACUUCCAGAUUAUUGACAUCGACGUACCAAAGCAGCUUGGCAACAAUGAGUGUGGUCUAUUCGCACUGCUUAACGCCACUGAGUGGAACGGGAGCCUACUGCCCAACUAUGAGCCCAAGGAAGUACUCAAGCUCAGAAAGAAGCUGGCAUAUGAUUGGGUCACCAGCACGCACAACUCUGCCCCACGGAGAAAGGUGCUGAGAUACGAAAAGGACUAG
rnacentral:rRNA from 1 species